CAUUUCGAUGGAAGUCUUGAACUCCUCCACCGCUUGACUCCUGGCCUCCGAGACCAGGGUCGGGAUCUGUUCCGCCAUGUUGGCAACCUCGGCCUCCGCCCUCCUCACCAUCUCCUCCAGGUUGGCCUUCUGUUCCGUCGAGGUCUGUCUCUCUCUCUCAAGCGCCUCUCGAAGACCGGCCACCUCGAGGGCCAUUUUC
rnacentral:lncRNA from 1 species